GACGAACGCUGGCGGCGUGCCUAAUACAUGCAAGUUGAGCGAUGAAGAUUGGUGCUUGCACCAAUUUGAAGAGCAGCGAACGGGUGAGUAACGCGUGGGGAAUCUGCCUUUGAGCGGGGGACAACAUUUGGAAACGAAUGCUAAUAUCGCAUAACAACUUUAAACAUAAGUUUUAAGUUUGAAAGAUGCAAUUGCAUCACUCAAAGAUGAUCCCGCGUUGUAUUAGCUAGUUGGUGAGGUAAAGGCUCACCAAGGCGAUGAUACAUAGCCGACCUGAGAGGGUGAUCGGCCACAUUGGGAAUGAGACACGGCCCAAACUCCUACGGGAGGCAGCAGUAGGGAAUCUUCGGCAAUGGACGAAAGUCUGAACGAGCAACGCCGCGGGAGUGAAGAAGGUUUUCGGAUCGUAAAACUCUGUUGGUAGAGAAGAACGUUGGUGAGAGUGGAAAGCUCAUCAAGUGACGGUAACUACCCAGAAAGGGACGGCUAACUACGUG
rnacentral:rRNA from 1 species